rnacentral:rRNA from 1 species
AUACGGAGGAUCCGAGCGUUAUCCGGAUUUAUUGGGUUUAAAGGGUGCGCAGGCGGCCACUUAAGUCAGCGGUUAAAUCGUGGGGCUCAACCCCAUUCUGCCGUUGAUACUGGGUGGCUUGAUUGCGGUCGAGGUUGGCGGAAUUCGUUGUGUAGCGGUGGAAUGCAUAGAUAUGACGAAGAACACCGAUUGCGUAGGCAGCUGACCAGACCGCAAAUGACGCUCAUGCACGAAAGUGCGGGGAUCGAACAGGAUUAGAUACCCUGGUAGUCCGCACAGUAAACGAUGAAUACUUGUUUUCGGCGAUAUAAUGUCGGAGGCAAAGCGAAAGCGAUAAGUAUUCCACCUGGGGAGUACGCCGGCAACGGUGAAACUCAAAGGAAUUGACGGGG